rnacentral:lncRNA from 1 species
CAUCCGCGGGGGCCAAGAAUUGCGGUGACCUUGGCCCCGACUGGCCGCCUUCCUACUCCGCUCGGCAAAUUCACACUUCGUCGUUUUAGUCGCAGUCGCGGACGUCUGGUCGCUGGGCUAAAUUUAGAAUCCGAGACACCGGCCCCCUUACUCGGGACGAUACCGCAUUCCCAAGUUCUACUUCGCGCAGACUGUUCCAAAGCUGGGUGUCCGAAUACUGGUCGAAAGGAUCCGGGUUGUAACGGAGAAUCGUUGAGAACAGAAUCGGCUCCUGAGGGAUCAUCGAAAUCCGGGGUCGCAACUCGUGUAGUCCAAUCAACUUCGCGUCGAUCCCAUCCAGCAGAAUUUCUCCCUCCAGUCCAUUUCCGGUUCCCCCGCCAGAAGAAACAGAAAACGAUGAAGAAAACGACGAUAACCGCGAUGAUACGAUAUGGUACCAAGUAGAACUGACCUUGUCAAGACGGAAUACACGAUUUUCAGGUCUUAGAACGCUCGUUAAAAAAACCUGUUCACCACACUUCAACGUCUCGAAAAAGAGACCGCUGAAUUGACAAAACCUACACUGUUAAAGAUUUCUAUAUGUAAUUUCUCACACUGUAUUAGAAGUUUUAUCCGGAUGCGGAACAGUGAAUUCACCAUACAUUUGCUG